GCAGAACUAAUUUUCUCUCCAUGUUGGUUAGCAUAAUAGUAAAUUAACUUAAUAUGUUAAAAACUGAAGUUGUGGCGCUGCCAUCAAGCCUGGGCCGAAGUGUUGAAGAGCGAUCCUGCGCUCGGGGAGUUAGUGAGGCAUCGCUGGAGGCGACAGGUCGUCGGUUGUGGAUACCACAGAGGCCACUGCAGGACAUAGCAACCACACAAUCUUGACUGCCCUGGGACUUCACCACAGCACGACAAUGUCUACACAAGUAAGGCGUGGAAGCUUUUAAGCAACUGCCAGAGGUAGGCAGUAUGUCGUCGUCCCGCCGAAGGCCGUACAGCCCGGCCUCCACCCGCCAGUACUGAACCCCGCUAACGGAACGCACCCCUAGCCCACCCCCACGCACGGAGAUGUGGAGAGGGUCGGAAGAGAGUUCUCCUCUACCCUUCGCCGCGAAAACCCGCGCUUCACGAGAGCUCCGGCCACGCCGUCGUUAGCCGUAAAGGCACCCGCAGAUGGGACGGAGUGAGCGUACGAGUAAGUGAACGUGCAAAUAGUGAAUGUGCAAUUAGUGAGCGUGCGAGUAGUGAACAGUGACUCCAGUGAACCAGUGCUUCGUGAGUAUUGUUCUCUGCCGACAUAAGCAGGGCCACCCAUUCACCGCUAGUUGUGGACCGUACAUGUGCACCACCGCCGACCCUAGUGGGACACGCGGGGGGCGAAGCACCCGCGACCCACAGCGAUGAGCUAGCCUGGCACCCUACGGGAACCCUAAGCCACCAGUCCACAUUAGGAUCCACCGGGUCUCGUGCUCGAGACCGCAGGUGACGGCAAAUGUGUCGUGAUUGGACGGUGGUCACGUGACUCCCUUCUCCCGGUCUGGCUGGAGGCAGUGGUGUCAUCCCGCAGUUUUCUGCUCAACGUCGCCUGAAUAAGUCACGUUUGGCAGUGGCUCAAGCCAAAAUUACAUAAUAUGUACUAAGGAAAGAACUUUACGGCUGUGGUACAGACUGCACUUUAACCAAACUUGUUUCGGACAAUUAUUCUGAAUUUUCAAUGACCACAGUCGUUGGUACUCAGCCCAAGAUGGAGCUUAAGAGCCCGUCUACAAUAGUCCCAACCUGUGCGUGGUCGGUGUCCUUAUCCGAAUGUGAGUGACGUCACAUUGUCUCACCGAAAACUGCCCUGUUCACAAUUGCGAUGUCCGAUGUCCGAAUGUAUUGAUUUCUAAAGUUGUUACCAGAGCGCAGUAAAUGUGCCAAACCAAAUGUUUUUGUUUAUUGUUUUGAUGCUUUAUAGUUUGAGAUUGAACUUAUGAAAGUUAUGUAAGUUAUAAGUGACUAACAUCACCUUCCAUUUCCUUUAAUAACAAAAACACCACGUUUUCAAACGGUAACCGGAAAUUCAAAUAUUGUGAAUGUUCUGUUCUUUUUCUGUGUCCGAAGUACACAGGUUGGGACACAAAGUUCAAAUUGACGAAUGUCUUCGGCUUGAUGUAGGCUUUUGGACAUACGCCAUUGCUUAGCACAUGUAUGUCUGUAGAAGAAAACUACAAAAAAACACAAAUUGUUUGUUGACCAUAUUCCUGUUGUGGAGUAUUGUGUGGCGUUAAAUCCUGACAACAGCAUUUUUUUUGCUUAAUUUGUGUUUUUUGUCAUAUGUGUUUUUUUGUAGUUUUCUUCUACAGACAUACAUGUGCUAAGCAAUGGCGUAUGUCCAAAAGCCUGCAUCAAGUCACACACUCCCAAUGCACAAAUCUUUCAAAGAGAAUGUCUUCGGACCAGGUAGGUUCGGACCUUCGCCCACUUGACGCAUGACGUCAGAGGGUCACGUGGACCAAUCAGCGACGAGUGUCCUUCGGACACAGUUUAGGACAUUGCUAUUGUAGACGGGCCUUAAUUGAUAUGUUGCAGCCAUCCCAAGGACACUUUUGUCCUUGGCUUGUACCGUCUAUGCCAAGUGACUUCGGGAAUUAUCUGCAAGAUGUGAAAUGGGGAAGUGAGUAUUAAGAACAUUUUGUACAACCUCAAAAUUACUAAACAUUCACAUUUUCGAGCAGGAAAUUUUCAUUUGUGCAUGCAUGAAAACUGUGAGGACCUGUUGUAAACAUCAUGUAAUG